CCCUUAGAUGUUCUGGGCCGCACGCGCGCUACACUGUUUGAUUCAGCGAGUCUUAACCUUGACCGAAGGGUUUGGGUAAUCUUCUAAAGUCAAACGUGAUGGGGAUCGAUCAUUGCAAUUAUUGAUCGUGAACGAGGAAUUCCUAGUAAAUGCAAGUCAUCAGCUUGCGUUGAUUACGUCCCUGCCCUUUGUACACACCGCCCGUCGCUACUACCGAUUGAAUGGUUUAGUGAGAUCUCCGGAUUGGCUCUGUAGGUCCCGCAAGGGAUUUAUUAGUAGCCAAGAAGCUGCUCAAACUUGAUCAUUUAGAGGAAGUAAAAGUCGUAACA
rnacentral:rRNA from 1 species